rnacentral:misc_RNA from 1 species
AUUUGAUUGGCUGUUUACAGACCACAUGACCGUUCAACAGAGGAUUUAGAGAUUAUCUAUGAAGAGUUACUACAUAUAAAGGCCUUAUCCCACCUGUCCACCAUGGUCAAGAGAGAGCUCGCCAGCGUUCUUAUCUUUGAAUCCCAUGCAAAGUCAGGCACAGCUUUGUUCAACCAAGGAGAUGAAGGAAAGUCCUGGUACAUUAUACUGAAGGGGUCCGUGAAUGUUGUUAUAUAUGGCAGGGGUGUUGUCUGCACGCUACACGAGGGAGACGACUUUGGGAAACUUGCCUUACUGAAUGAUUCACCAAGAGCGGCCACCAUCGUGCUUCGGGACGACAACUGUCACUUUCUGCGUGUCGAUAAAGAUGACUUUAAUAGAAUUCUAAGGGAUGUAGAGGCGAACACGGUACGGCUAAAGGAACACGGAAAGGAUGUGUUGGUACUGGAGAAGAUCCCCAUGAACAACCAAGGACCUGAUGGUACCACACAGACCCAUUAUAGGUACUCUGUGAUGGCGGGAACGCCAGAGAAGAUGUUGGAACACUUACUGGAGAGCAGUCUGGAGAGUAAGAUUGAGGAGGCUACAGAUAACUUCCUGGAGGUGUUCCUACUCACACAUGUGAUAUUUAUGCCGAGUGACCAACUGUGUCCGGCCCUCCUGGCCCAUUAUCAUGCCAAGGUCAACCGAAAGUCUGAUGAGGAGGAGUCCGCUGAUUAUGCAGUAACGCAGCGCAAGUUUGUAGUUCAGUUUGUGCAGGAGUGGUUUUGUAUCGCCCCUGACAGCUUUAAAGAAGAUGCUGCCAUCAGGGAAUUCCUACAGAAGCUGCACGAAUCCCUGAAGGCUGAUUGUCAUGAAUAUCCGUCCCUUAUACACGAACAUACAUCUCUGGAAGACAUCAUGAAAUAUGACAAAGGUCGAAUGCAAGUGGAGAAGCCGUUUAAGCGUAGGAUUUCCCCGUCCGUCAUUCUCACUCGCAGAUUCAACAAGGAGAACACGAUGGAGACACUAACCAGACGACGACCAAUCAAAGCAGAUGAUGAAAAUGUGUUUAAGGUGUUCUGUGCUGACCAUUCCUACACUACACUAUGUAUGCCUAUGGGCAGUACUGUCAAGGCCAUCAUACUACAAACCCGCGACAACCUGCGCCUUGGAAAUGACCUCGUCCUGUGUGAGGUCAAAUCGACUGGAGAACGUAUAAUAUUGAAAGACAACGACUUAUGUAUCACAACGUCUCUGAGUGUCAACGGAAAACUUUUCAUUGCACCCAGGGAACACAUUGAUGCUCUGACACCGUUACCGGAGCAGGAGGGUCCAACAGCUGGCACUGUGACCAUGUUUGAGAUGAUGAGUACAAAAGAGGUGGCCUACUACAUGACACUGUAUGACUGGGAACUCCUUAUCACUGUGGACGAAUAUGAACUCAUCUAUCAAGUGUUUGGUCGCCACACUUUUGGCAAGAUUACCUCAAAUCUGGACAUGUUCCUUCGGCACUUCAACGAAGUUCAGUUCUGGGUCAUCACAGAAAUGGUACUGGCUCAGAAUGUCAGUAAACGGGUACAGCUGCUGAGGAAAUUCAUCAAGUUGGCAGCGCACUGUAAGGAGUACCAGAACCUUAACUCAUUCUUUGCAAUUGUGAUGGGGCUGAGUAACAUUGCUGUGAGCAGGUUGUCGCAGACAUGGGAGAAGCUGCCCAGUAAGUUCAAGAAGAUGUUUGCAGAGUUUGAGACAUUAAUGGAUCCAACAAGAAAUCACCGUGUAUACCGACUGACCGUGGCUAAACUGGCUGCACCUAUCAUCCCCUUCAUGCCCCUCCUCAUGAAAGAUUUAACGUUUACCCAUGAAGGAAACAAAACAUAUUUUGAUGGAUUAGUGAAUUUUGAAAAAAUGCACAUGAUAGCCCAGACUAUGAGAACAGUACGCUUCUGUAAAAGUCAGCAAUUAGAUUUGGAAGCAUCGACCUCCUUAAAGUUAUCCUCAGAAGUGAUAGAAUACAUCAGAAAUCUUCAUGUUAUUGAUAAUCAGAGAUUACUGACACAGUUCUCCUACAAGUUGGAGCCUCGGAGGACUUGACGACACCAUCCAGGGGUCUGAAAUGAUGGGAGACAGUUACCAAGUAGUGGCCACUACUGGACAUUCCUUCGCACAUUGACCUGUGUAUCUUGUGCCAUACAGGGAAUAGCUGUCCAUUGAGCCAGGGCGUGCUCUAAGUCAGUCUGCCAUGGUGAUUCACUAAAACUUACCAGAUUAAAUGACAUUGAGGUGCUGCGAGUUAUCUGACCUUGGUGUACUGUGAAGGCGUUGUGCCAACCUCCAGUUGACAAAGAUACCAGACUUUACAAAGUCAGGAGAAGCUGGACACAAAAUGAUGCAAUUUGUGAAUUGUUGAUGACCAAGGCACAGUUGUGAAGGGUCUGGCUCCCCUGCUCCCAAAAUUAUGUCUGGAGUUUAUACAAGGAAACUUAUAAAACUACUACUACUAGGCCAAAAAAAAAUCACAAUGAAACGACUACUUGUACUUGACAAAGGCUAUGAUGAUACAAUCAGAUCCUGCUUCGUUUUAUAAAAGCCUGGUCUUAAAUCAAUGACCUCAUGGAAAGGGGAUUACUCAAUGAUAUCAAUAUUGAGUGAAUUUGAAUAAUACUAAUGGCUCUAUGAUGAAGAUUAAUGCUACCUACAUGUAGAUGUUUUUUCUGUUAAUAUUAUUACAGGAAAUAACAGAUAUUCAGACCACAGAACUAAUUUCUGUCAAGACAUCAUUGAUAAGGUGAUAAUAAUCCGCUAUAGAUUCAUGUUUGGUAUUCGCCUGGAAUUUCUUUGUUCCGCUGAAUGUUUGCUUGUUUCCUUUCACAGUGAUGUUUUGUUAUAGAAUUUUUUAUUGUUGAAAUUAAUGUGUUGUACUUCUGCAUAGAAGCAUUUUCUCAAAACAAUUGAUGAUGUUUAACUCAUUCACCCCUGAAAUUUCAUAAUGAAAUAUUCCAACCUCUGAAUUGGAGGAGUUCUAAUGUGUCUCCAGGGGUGAAUGAGUUAAAAUCAUUGGUAGAUAUUAAGUUGUUUUGUAAUUGGACUUGUAUACCAAAUAUGAAAGUCCCAGUGGCUCACAGCUACGAAAGAUUUGAGUUAAAUAUUAUAUUUAUGUUAACUUCAGUUGCUAUUAUAGAGGUUUAAUAUGUUUCCAAUAAUUUGUGUUAUUGGGAAACCUCUUUUGGUAAUUAACAUGUGAAGAAUUCACUUAUUGUGUUUUAGUCCUUGCCUAAUACAGAUAAAUAUAAUUAUGACUAACAAAGACUGGACAUAAAAGCAAUUUAUAUUUGAAAUCAAGAAACUUUUGAAAUAAUGAAUUUAAGAAAUUUGAUGAAGUAAAACAUGUCACUAAAAAAAUUAAUAUAAAUGAUGCAAGCAAAUGUGUUCUACAAUUUCCUGAUGUUGAUUUUUUUUUUUUCCUUCAAACUUUUUUGAAAAAUCAAUAUUAAAGGUUUUCUUAAUAAUGUACUUACUUUUUAGAUAUCAAAUACAUUGUGUUUUCAAAUCAAGUAUGGCAGACUAUUUUAAAUAUCUUGUAUUUUGGUUAUAGUUCUUUUACUGAAAAGUUUAUUUCGUUCUUUGAUUUUAUUAUGAUAUUUAUUGUGUAAUAUUGGUUAUUUUUUUGUAUGUGUAAUAUUUGGUUUUGUAAUGAUCCAUUUUGUUGUGUCAGAUGAUUUAGAAUUUUUCACCCCCUUGAGAGUGAGAUAGGGGAAUCUUUCCCCAAGGAUUGAGAUUCCCCAUCUCACCCCAAGGGGGUGAAUGAUUCAUUUUAUUCAUUGCUAUUUUAUGAUAAUUAUUAACUGAUUGGGCUUAAAUUUGGUUUGUAGAUGUAUUGUGGUAUUGCAAACACUACUGCAGCUUCUUUUUACUGAUAGGACAGAAUAGACGCCAUGUCCUGGCCUCUGAUUGGUGGCAUCUUAGAUAUUGACCAAUUUCUUUCAUGCAGGUAUACUAUGUUGUUACAAACAGUUACAAACAGUUAAUGUACAAACAGUUGGGUAUCAAAACAGUUGUUUCAUGCCUGAUCGGUCAAUAGUCAACGAGUCGGAGUUGUGACUCACCAGAUCAAUUGGCCGCUGAAUAGGGGAUAAAGUCAUCUACACUGUAUUAGGAUUUGCUAUAUUUAAGUUUUCUUCCUAAACAGGCUGGCUUUUACAUAUCGUUCAGUUGUCAAAAGUGUUAUUAUUUGGUGUUUUUUUCCAUGUUUUUUAUUAUCAUUAUUUGGUUGUUUUAUGUCAUUUUUUAUUCACAGGUUGAAAUUUGAUCCUAGUGUUACAGUAGAAUGAAGAUGUUUAAGACCAAUUAGAUUAUGAUAGCGUUAACAAUUUCUUGAUUUAUAAGUUGAUUUGAAAAGCAGUUUUUCUAAACUCAAUCUACCUUUGAAAGCAUUCUAAAAGAUCACAGGAAGACAUGAAGCACAAGGAAAUACUUUUCUAGAGUAAAGAAAAAUUGUACAGGUACAAGUAGUGAUAUGAUAAACUUGGAGGACAAGGGAAAUCCCUACAUUGUACGAUUUCUGUUGAGAAUUAAUAUUUCUAUCUGAUCAGAGGCAAGGAUUUCUAUAUGGUUUUUUUUCUUCAUUUUUUCCCCUUUCAGAUGCAUGGUCGGUUACUAUUAACAUCAAAGCUUGAAUAUCAAUUCUGACUAGCUCUACAUUUUGCUAUAGAUUGUUACUAUUUUGGUGCGACACAAAUCGUAUCCUACUGAAGGAACUACCUGCUGAAUGAUCAGGUCAUUAACUGAGGAGUAAGCCAUUAAACAAGAGUUAGAUUAAUGGAACUCCUAACAAAUGCGCUUUUAAAUUAACAGUGUAUGUAUGUAUAUAGUUGGAUAAAUCUACAAAGAAUCGCAGUUACAGUAUUUAAUUAUAGAUCAGUGUAAGAUCAGUGUAUGUAUCGCUGAUUAAAUAUACAAAGAAAUGCUAUUACACUGUAAGAAAGAGUGUAUGUAUAUCAAUGGAUAAAUCUACAAAGAAUCGAAGUUACAGUAUUUAAUUAUAGAUCAGUGUAAGAUCAGUGUUUAUAUCACUGAUUAAAUCUUCAAAGAAUCGCAGUUACAGUAUUUAAUUAUAGAUCAGUGUAAGAACUGUGUAUAUAUCACUGAUUAAAUCUACAAAGAAUCGCAGUUACAGUUUUUAAUUAUAGAUCAGUGUAAGAACAGUGUAUAUAUGGCUGAUUAAAUCUACAAAGAAAUGCUGUUACAUCGAAAUCGUUGUGUUUGAGUGGAAUAUAUAUAUAUGACAUAUCAAGAUUCUCAUUGUACAGUUUGUUGAUGACAGUUUUGUUGUUGAAGCGAAUUUGGAGAUAAAUGUGGCAAAAUUAA